UGGGGAAUUUUGCACAAUGGGGGAAACCCUGAUGCAGCGACGCCGCGUGAGCGAAGAAGGUUUUCGAAUCGUAAAGCUCUGUCCUAUGGGAAGAUAAUGACGGUACCAUAGGAGGAAGCCCCGGCUAACUACGUGCCAGCAGCCGCGGUAAUACGUAGGGGGCAAGCGUUGUCCGGAAUCACUGGGCGUAAAGGGUUCGCAGGCGGAAAUGCAAGUCAGUUGUGAAAGGCAGAGGCUCAACCUCUGUAAGCAAUUGAAACUGCAUAUCUUGAGAAGAGUAGAGGUAAGUGGAAUUUUUAGUGUAGCGGUGAAAUGCGUAGAUAUUAAAAAGAAUACCGGUGGCGAAGGCGACUUACUGGGCUCAUUCUGACGCUGAGGAACGAAAGCGUGGGUAGCAAACAGG
rnacentral:rRNA from 1 species